AGGAUGCUGAUGAGUGGUUGCAGACGCUCCGUAGCCAUCAAGAUGGAAUGACCCAUGCACAUUGAUGAUGUUUGAUUUACCGCGUUCAUCGUCCUCAUUUAAGCGACAUUUCAUUCAUAUUUGUAUAGUUUUGGGUAGAGGUUUAAGAUGUUUUGUGCAUUCUACAUUGCAUCUCAAUUUAGUGUCGCAUAUUCGUUUGGGGUCCAUUUAAUAUAAUUUUAAAGUGUUUUUUUAUAGAUAUCACACGGUGUAACAAUAAAAAAAAGUAGCAAAAUCAACAUUAUACAAAAUACCAUGGUUGAGAGAAAACCUAGUAGCAGCCAAAUGUGACAACAAUCACAAAUACACUAGUCUUGAAAUAUCUACUAGAAGCGCAUGUCUAUUGAGAUUGAACGACUAAUAAGUAACAGAGAGUGUGAGUCCUGAUAAACUGACCUUAAGGGCCAUGCGUAUAGUGGAUUUGGUCUAGCUCGACCACAAACCUCUGUAACACCAUGGGUAAUUAUAGAUGAAUCAAACACUUUUCGUCGUAUGAUUUGCCAGCAACAUUGCGACAGAGAAGCGGUGGGUGAAAGGUUCACUGAAAUGAACAAAAAGUAAACCAGUUAGAAAACACAAACACUGUAAAAUCAAAAGUCCAAAAAGCUUUCUUAGGUAGUGGUGAGGACCUGUUGUAAGUUUCUUACAGCUUCAUGAAUUAGCAGUUAGCCAAAUUUAGGUAUCUUGGGUGCUUCAAAGAUGAUAUACUGAACAUGCUCAUCAAUCAACAAUCAAAUUAUACAUUUCGAAAUUGCAACAGUAUAAACAAGCUUUCUAUCAAGUUUAUACAUUUCCAACAGUAUGAACAUACUAAUGAAUCACACUGAACGUGUUAAAUCUGUAACAGGACAAGGUUUCUAUCAGCAUAAACGACUGAAAUGCUCCCCCCUAUCAACUCUGCAGUAACAGAUGAACCCAGGGUUUUCGGGUCAUUUGGAAGAGGGAUCCAAACCCAGGAUUUUACGGGUCUAGAUUACAAUAUUACAGAGCUGUCGACCAAGUCCCCGAGCAGCAACAAAACAGUCAAAUCCAGAACUGAGCAAGAAUCAAGCUUAGUGCGAAUUGAACCAAUUGAGAGUGGGAAAACAAAGUUUACGAACCUCUGUUGAAAGAAUAGAGAUGUCGCCGUCGACGGAGGAGUCUUCUUCAAUCGCGGCUGCUAGUCCGAUGGAUGGAGAAAUUCGAAAUCC
rnacentral:lncRNA from 1 species